AGAGAGAAGGAGACGAGAGAGACAGAGACAAAGAAGAAGGAGACACAGAGAGAGGGACAGAGAGAGAGGGAGAGAAGGGGGAGAGAGAAAGAGACAGAGAGGAAGAGAGAGACAGAGAGAGGGAGAGAUAGGGAGGAAGAGAGAGAGAUGGAGGGGGGAGAGAUGGAGAGGGAGAGAGAGAGGGAGACAGAGAGGGACAGAGAGGGGGGGAGAGAGAGGGAGAGAAGGAGACAGAGAGAGAGGGAGAGAGAGAGGGACAGACAGAGAGACAGAAGGAGAGAGAGACAGAGAGAGGGAGAGAUAGGGAGGGAGAGAGAGAGAGACAGAGAGAUGGAGAGGGAGAGAGACGGGGGAGAGAUGGAGAGGGAGAGAGAGAGGGACAGAGAGGGGGGAGAGAGAGGGAGAGAGGGGGCAGAGAUGGAGACGGGGAGAGACAGAGAACACAUGCAAAAUACAGGCAGAAGACAGAAACACAGGAAACCUAGUUCUAGGACCAAAGGAAGUUUUCUAUAAUUUUUUCAUAGCAAAACAAUUUCAUAAUAACCUCAGUUCAAUAAAAAUAAGAACUUAAAAUAAUAAAAUGAAUUCAUAUGAAGAGAGAGAUUACAGAUCUUAGGAAACAAAUCAAGGACCAAAAUAACACCAUUAAGGUCCUAAUAAAGAACCUAAAAGUGCUGAGAAAUAUAAUAGCACCAUUAAAAAUCAAUGUUUUAAGAAUUCCGUAUCCUACUUUUAUUUGUAAAACAACCCUUUUCUUAUUAUAGAGUAAUAGAUACGCAUUGUAGAAUAUUAGAAAAUAUAAGCAAAAUGAGAAAACACUUGUGGUCAGGAGUUUGAGACCAGCCUGGUCAACAUAAUGAAACCCCGUCUCUACUAAAAAUACAUGGCGGGCCGGGCGCAGUGGCUCAUGCCUGUUAUCCCUGCACUUUGGGAGGCCCAGGCGGGUGGAUCACCUGAGGUUAGGAGUUUGAGACCAGCCUGGCCAACAUGGUGAAACCCCAUCUCUGCUUAAAAAAAAAAAAAAUUAGCUGCAUGUGGUGUUGUGCACCUGUAAUCCCAGCUACGCGGGAGGCUCAGGCAGAAGAAUCACUCCAACCCGGGAGGUGGAGGUUGCAGUGAGCCAAGAUAGCACCAUUGCCCUCCAGCCUGGGGGGCAAGAGCGAAACUCUGUCUCAAAAAAAUAAAUAGAAAAUAAAAAUACAUGAUGGCACAUGCCUGUAGUCCCAGCUGCUCAGGAGGCUGAGGCAGAAGAAUCACUUGAACCCGGGAGGUGGAGGCUGCAGUGAGCUGAGAUCAUGCCACUGCACUCUAGCCUGGGAGACAGAGUAAGACUCCGACUAAAAAAAAAAAAAAAAAUUCCACGUUUCCACAGUGCAGACCCUUCAGCCUCUUCCUUAUGCAAACACACACGCAGGCACACAUCUGCAUGGACACCUGGCACAUGCUUCUCGCUGCUGCCCGCUUAGAUCAGUCCGUGGUCCCCUUCGUUCCAUUUCACUCUGUUUUGACUCAGUUAACACCCAGACCUGAAUUGACCUAAAAAUUGUCCCGGGCAGCAGGUCUGUUGAAAGCAGAAGCCAUCGAGAGCCACCCGUGGCCCUGGGCUGUCGCGCCCCCGAGCAGAGUCCGGCUUGCUGAGGGGACCCAGGACACCCCCGAGCAGAGUCCAGCUUGCUGAGGGGACCCAGGACGCCCCCGAGCAGAGUCCGCUUGCUGAGGGGACCCAGGACGCCCCCGAGCAGAGUCCGGCUUGCUGAGGAGACCCAGGACGCCCCCGAGCAGAGUCCGGAAUGCUGAGGGGACCCAGGACGCCCCCGAGCAGAGUUCGGAUUGAUUGCUGAGGGGACCCAGGACGCUUGUUGUGCAGGUGCCUCGAUGGUCCGGUUGCUCCGCCUGGUGUUCUUAGCUUGUCCACCUCUGGCAUUAUCUGGAAACUGCAGGUUACGUUAAAGGCUUUCUGAAAUCAUGUGAAGAGUCUGGCGUGUCCGCUCUCCACAGGUCGCGUUGUGUAUGUGGAGUUGCGUCACACCAAUGACAUCUGGCUGCGCCGCUGUGAGCGACGGUGAGAUCAGCCUGGAAGGGAGGACCACGCUCUGCCUCCUGCAUUUCCAGCCGCCUCUCCACGCCCACAUCCGGAAGAUCAUCUUCAUGGCGUUGCACGGGCGCCCUGUGGAUGUGUCUCCGCGUCCGUCAUUCCCGGAAUUGUUUUAAUGCUAGUUAAUAAUUAUUGCCUGGAGCCACAGUGUCACCAGCAUUUACUAAGUUAUAUUUUUCUAAUUCUAUUAUCAUUUCUAUAUGUAUUAUCUGCCACUGAAAAUCAAAUAUUGCCAAAGGAGAAAAGCUUGAAAUAAGCAGAGUAAAUGUAGAUGAAAAAGACGACUGAGAGAGAAGCUAAUCAAUGUAAGGAAAAUGGGUUUCCCUGAAGUCAACAGCCAGAAAGUGGAAGAUUUAGUGUAUCCAAAGACAAAUUUCUCUAAAAUAAUAAUAAUAAUAAACACAUUGGACUACCAGAUCUGAAGAGGGUAUUGUUUUCCAGAACAUGUUGAAAGAAAACACCCAACCCUGAAUGGAUGUUAGUUCAGCCCCUGAACCCUGAAGGUAAAGAAAACUCUUUAUGCAACAAAAAGGAAAACAUUAACAAGAAAAAAUGAGCCACGCUGGCCUCAGAUGUUCCCAUCAAUCUUUGGAGCCAAAAGACACAUGAAAACCGCUGCUGCACCCGGCACACAGGAGACAGAAAACAUACUCAGCUAAGGCAGCACCUGGUACACAGAAGACAGAAGAGAUACGAGCUAAGGCUGCACCCGAUACACAGAAGACAGAAGACAUACUCAGCUAAGGCAGCACCCGGUACACAGAAGAGAGAAGAGAUACUCAGCUAAGGCACCACCCGAUACACAGAAGACAGAACACAUAGUCAGCUAAGGCAGCACCCGAUACACAGAAGACAGAAGACAUACGCAACUAAGACUGCACCUGGCACACAGCAGACAGAAGCCAUACUCAGCUAAGGCAGCACCCAGUACAAAGGACACAGAAGACGUACUCAGCUACGGCUGCACCUGGUGUACAGAAGACAGAAGACAUACUCAGCUAAGGCUGCACCCGGUACACAGGAGACAGAAGACGUACUCAGCUACGGCUGCACCUGGUGCACAGAAGACAGAAGACAUACUCAGCUGAGGCAGCACCCGGUACACAGAAGACAGAAGACAUACUCAGCUAAGGCAGCACCCGAUACACAGAAGACAGAAGACAUACUCAGCUAAGGCAGCACCUGCUACACAGAAGACAGAAGACAUACUCAGCUAAGGCAGCACCCGAUACACAGAAGACAGAAGACAUACUCAGCUAAGGCAGCACCCGAUACACAGAAGACAGAAGACAUACUCAGCUAAGACAGCACCUGGUACACAGCAGACAGAAGACAUACUUAGCUAAGGCAGCACCUGGUACACAGAACAAAGAAGACAUACUCAGCUAAGGCAGUACCCGGUACACAGAAGACAGAAGACAUACUCAGCUAAGGCAGCACCCGAUACACAGAAGACAGAAGACAUACUCAGCUAAGGCAGCACCCAGUACACAGAAGACAGAAGACAUACUCAGCUAAGGCUGCACCCGAUACAGAGAAGACAGAAGACAUACUCAGCUAAGGCAGCACCCAAUAUACAGUAGACAGAAGACAUACUCAGCUAAGGCUGCACCCGAUACAC
rnacentral:lncRNA from 10 species